UGCUGCAGUUGUCAGGGAAUGUCACCUUGACACUAUUGCAGGGUGACAUCAGUCGCACCACCCAGACCAAGCAUGGGCUGAACGCAAGUCAAAAAUAUGUUGUGUGCGCGUGCGUUUGUGAAGGGCAUUGAGGUGUGUCAGCCCUCAAAGAGCUGCUUUGUUUUCAGGCUUAGUCCAGGUCACUCCCUUCCUUUGUCUUUGUGUUGUUAUGAACAUAACCUUGUUGUUGUGUGUUUUGGGAGGGCGGCAGAGAAGAUAGGAUGAGGAAAAGAAGCUGCCCCACUGGGCUCUGCCUUGAUUCACAGCCCCAUGUAUUCUUCUCAUUACAGGUCUGCAGUGACACUGAACUUGAGCCUGGAGAGUUGGCAGCAGGGAUGGACUAUUUCUGCACUUACUUUGUAAUUCAAAGAGCCAUGGACAUGCCUGCUGAGCGAGAGCCUGAGAAUAGGCUGAGAGGAAUCCCCAAUUUGACUGAGGAACCUGUGAAUCCAGUUGCAGGUUGAGGAGAGCCUCUCCGUUGUAAUGAGAUUGGAACAGCACAGGGCUCAGUGAAUGGAAGAUGUUCUGCACUGGUGGAUACAUGGAGUACAUGGAGCCUCUACAGAGGUCUAAUGUCGGCUUGUUUUCUCUUCAUCUUGAUUGAUUUGACUUGUUCACAUUGACACACAUGCUGGUUUAGAUAGGCCUAUCUCAUUCAAUGUAGACACGGGUUGGUUACUAGGGGCAAAUAAUAAUUAAAUGACUUGAUGGGUUGAGUGUUGUUAUUAAGUGACAUAGCAAUUAAACCUUGGUGUAAUUUUGCCACUACACUUGCACCAAAUAAAAUCUGUGACACUGAAAUAAACACACAGGCUACUAUGUCACGAUCUAUAGCGCGUGCUCUGAGUGACAACAAUAGCACCAUCAGCUAGCCUACUCAACAAAUGGUAGUCUUUGCUGGCACCUGGUGGUUUCUAAAGUUAUUAUGCUAUUAUAUUUAUGACCACGCUCUGAUCUGCUUUGGUUUGUCAAGGGAUUUCAUAUGGGAAAUUAAUAAUGUUCAGACAAAUUCUAGGUUUUAAAGGUCAUUGGUAUGACACAUUUGAGACUAAGUAGGUAAAGCUCUUAGUAAAGCAUAUGCAUGAUGAGUGAACCUAUGGGUGCCGUGCAGGGAGUGUAAUUCAUUUUGUUAUGAAAUCUUAUUUUGUUAAUGUGAAUGUGUCUUCAGGCCCAGUCUAGCUCAUACCACCCACAUCCCCUGAAAUCCCCUGUAAUGACUAUAAUUGCAGUUCCUCUAGCUGUGGCCUCUAAUACACACAAGCUCAUGACUGGCAUGCAGACUCCACCCCUCAGGACUCAAUUGCUCCUGUCUGGAUAGACAAAGCUCUAUAGUCUCACCUGUCCAAUCUGUCUGGCACUGCUGCUCUUCCUACAUACUUAGCUAUGUGUAAGUUAGGUCUCAGACAGGAGAAAUAUGUGACAGAGGAUAUUCAUUUAGGUUGCAUAAACUAAACGGUUGACUUUUGUGCUUACUGAUGAAAUAUGUUCUCAAAAGGCUGCUACUUAAUCCCUGAAGAAAUCUUUGAGUCAUUGUAGAACAAUUACUCCAUCUGUUAGAUAAUGUGAGACAAAGCAAGAGACAUUAUUUUAAAAAACAGGAUACAUAUUUCCACAGUGUAAGUGGAGACAUUUAGACUGCAACAUGUUGUUUUCUCAUUGACUUAAUACAUGGAGGAAAUCUAUGAUAAUGCACGCUUUGGUGGAUAUAAUAGUAUCCUAACAGUGGGAGGAUCAAGUCAGGGGUGGGAAAUCAUUUUUGCUCGAGGGCCACAUUGGGAUUUCAAAAUUCAGCAGAGGGUCGCACACAUUUUCUUUUUACUCAAACCUCCCGCGGGUCAGAUUGAAUGGGCUCACAGGCCGCUGCCCAUCCCUGGUACUGUAUGUUGCCAUCCCUGAUCAAGUGGCUGCUUGACUUUUAGAUGAUUAGAAAUUGUAUAAUCAAAACGAGACAAAAAUAUUUCAUUUCAAAGAUUUAUUCACAAGUACAAAAAUGUAUUUUCAUACAGAUAUUCACAUAACAGAUAUUUUCAUCACCUAGAUUCAGUUUACAGUGCAUGUCUAGUAAUUACACAGACCAUGUAUUCUUUGGACAAGGCUAACAAAAAGUAUUCAACUGAGACAUGAAAACAGUUUCACUAGUUGCCAGACACAGUGUGUUGUCCUACAUGAAGCAUAUCACAUUUCAAUGAUUGACAUGGUGUGUGUCUGUCCUCACAGCUAUGCUGUUGACUGUGCAAUGGAAUGAGAGUA